CUACAGAUGGAGCCAACCCAGGCAGGCUCCAACUUUGACUUCUGCACUGUCACCCAGUGCUGAAGCUGUGUGGGUUUCUGUCUCAGCCCAGAGUGGGAUGCAGCCUCACUGAGCCAUCUUUCAGUAUAUCCUUUCUGGUAUUCACGGAUUUGUUACCAAAAUAAUGAUUGUCUUCUCAGUGUUGUUCUGUCCCUGACAAUUUCAGUUGUUUAUUUUUCAUUUUUUAUUUUAGUAUAUAUAUAUUUUAUUUUAUAUCUAUCUAUAUAUUUUAUUUUAGUAUAUAUAUAUUUUAUUUUAGUAUAUAGUUAUUGAGACAGUUUCACUAUAUAGCUUGUCCUAGAACUGGCUGUUUAGACUAAGCAGGCCUUGAACUCACAGAGAUCCACCUGCCUCUGCCUUCUGAAUACUGGGAUUAAAGAUGUGCACCACCAUGCCAGGCUCCAUUCCCAACUCCCCAUUCCCCUACCCAGAUAAGGUUUCUCUGUGUAACAGCCUUAGCUGUCCUGGAACUUGAUUUGUAGACCACGUCGGCCUGGAACUCAGAGGUCUGCUUGCCUCUGCCUCCAGCUUAAAUGAUACUGAAGGAUCUUUGGACCUAUGAGUGGCCUUGUUCUUCUCCUGUUGGCUGGAUGACAUACCAUCAUCUAUGCCCAGCUGAUCUGGAAAGAUGUGUAAGUAGUUUUUAGUUUUUCUAGAUCUGAGAAUGUGACCCAUAUGAGCUCCUGAUGACUUUAUGUCACCUGAUAGUGCCCAGUGAGGACAGACAGGGUGCUUGGCUGUGAUGCAUCCCUGAGAAAGAAAGAACCUGACCUCAUUUCCCCCAUGUCUAGUGGAAAACGUUGGGCGCUAGAUAAAUGACUAUUUUUGUCUGAGUGACUGGUUACUGCUUGUCUCCUCAUUUGUUUCACUUUAGAACGAGAACUGUUCACAUGCUGGUUUCCCUGCAGUAUCCUCUUGCUGUCUGCUCCCUGGGUACUGGCAAGACUUCUUUUCUUUAUGCUCCUCCGCCCUUACUUGGUGUUGAAGGUAGGGCCAGCCUUAUGUGUAUAAGUGUUCUACCAUACUGCUCUAGCCCUUGGAAAAAAAAUAUUCUAGAAGCUGGAAAGAUGGCUUAGCAGUUAAAAGCACUGGCUGCUCUUGCAGAGGACCUGACUUUGAUUUCCAGCACCCACGUGGCAGCCCACAGCUGUCUGUUACUCCAGUUUCAGGGGAUCUGAUGCUCUUCUGGUCUCUGAGGGCACUAGGCAUACACAUGGUACAGACAUACAUGUAGUCAGAACACUCAUACACACAAAACAAUUGGGGGGGGGGCGCGGGUUUCGAGACAGGGUUUCUCUGUAUAGUUUUGGUGCCUGUCCUGGAUCUUCUGUCCUGGAUCUUGCUCUGUAGACUAGGCUGGCCUCGAACUCACAGAGAUCCGCCUGGCUCUGCCUCCCGGAGUGCUGGGAUUAAAGGCGUGUGCCACUGCCGCCCGGCACAAAACAAUUUUUAAAAUUUUUAAAAAAUUAAUUUUAAGACACUGGGUUAUCUUAAGAUAUCCCUGAGGUUGUGGUCCUCCUACCUCAGUCUCUCAGGUACCUGGGGUAACAAUGCCAUUAAGCCUGGCACAUACCAGGCUUGAUGUCCAGUGUGUUCUUGGCUGGGUGCUUACAGAGUUUCGUGCUGCUCUGCUGUGUGUGUGUGUGUGUGUGUGUGUGUGUGUGAGAGAGAGAGAGAGAUAUUUGGGAACUGGGUGUUUUUCCAGUUUGUCUAAUACAAUAGUGGUCAGACUGAAUGCUUCCUGCUGCGUUUUUCCACUAUCUUGAGAGCUGUCCUCCUCUCCAUCUGUGAGCAGAAAGAGCCCAUCUUUUUAUUAUUCUCCCAUGGUAUGUUGCAAAACAUUAAGUGUGAGCUGGUUUCCUGUGGCAAAAAGUUGACUUUGAUUUGUUCUUUUUGAGGUUACUGUGAGUUUAUCAUAACAGGAGUGCUAAAAAUAGCAGCUCUAGUAUGGAAACUGUUCACUUACCAACAUGGACAGUAACACGCAGGCUUAGCUGAGAGCAGGAAGGAAUGGACCACAUCUCAUGAUGAGUUACGACUAUCCUAGGGUCCUGCUGUCCUCACUCUCUGAGUCUGUUCUAAUGAGCUGUGGAAAAAUACUUAGCACAUACUCCAGCCUCAGAACUGAAGGCAAAAUAACCCAAGAUCAAACAUUUGGGGCGCAUCUGGUGUUUGCACGAUCUGUAGCUGAGAAUCAGAGGAGGAGAAAUCGAUUUCCUUAGCAGUGGCUUCACACUAACACCUCGUGAGGAAAGCCCUAAUGUAGGCUGCAGAAGAAACUGCUCUGUCGUGUUGGUGUUCAGUAUGACCAAAUUACUCUGCAGUGAUCAAAAGCAGACCGUUAAGAGCAUUCCAGGAACUGGGAGUGUAGGCACCUCUACAGAUACAUAUAGACUUGAACAGGUUUUGCUAAGAGGUAAAGAGAAAGAUUGUACACAGCAGCUGGAAGCCAGGGCAGGGUGUAAUGACCAUGGCUUCCCAUUGGAUAGGGUAUCAGAACCAACCGGAGAAUCUUCAGAAAGUGCAAAUCAACUACACACACACAUAAAAUAACUUAAAAAGAAAAAAACCUUGAGCUGGGCAGAGUGUUAUGCUUCUACUACUUUUACCAGAGAGAUGGAGGCAUGAAGAUCACUUGCAUUCUUUUCUUUUUUUUUUUUUUUUUUUUUUUUUGGUUUUUCGAGACAGGGUUUCUCUGUGUAGCUUUGCGCCUCUCCUGGAACUCACUUGGUAGCCCAGGCUGGCCUCGAACUCACAGAGAUCCGCCUGGCUCUGCCUCCCGAGUGCUGGGAUUAAAGGCAUGCGCCACCACCGCCCGGCCCAUUCUUUUCUUUUUUAAAGUCAGGCAUUGCCAUAAGAGCAAAUCUAGCCUAGGCUGUAGCACAAGAACUUGUCUCAAAAAAAAAAAAAAAAAGAGAAAGAAAGAAAACAGAGAGGGAAGACUGGAUUGAUUAGCAGUUAACUUUCUGUAACUCUAGCUUCAGGUGAUUCAACACUUCUGGUCUCUGAGGGCACCCGCACUCACAAGCACAUACAGCCGCUGCGGCACACGCACACACAGAUAAACAGAUACAUAAUUAAAAUUUAAAAACCUCUAAAAUAAUCGGAGUAAGAACCCUAAAAACCCAAGUCAGCACAUAGAAAGGUGCCAGUGCUGAACACAGAACGUCAUGCUAGGUCCCUAGAAAGGUGUUUGUUUCCGUGGGUUCUCUGUCCACCCCGUCCCUGUCCCAUGACCCUGACUGUACUAGAUAAGCAGGUGGUCACUGUGCUGAUCUCCAGCCCCAAAGCCUUGUUCAACAGUGCAUUGCUCGCUCUCCUGAGCAGAAGAUGGGGAUCUUAAGAUGAGAUUCCUGCUUACAUUCAUCUCUGGAAAAGAGAGUUGUGUUUCUUUUCUAAAAUAACAGAGCAAAGCUUAUGUGAUGUGUUGAGAGUGGGGAUUGUCCAGUAAGGCACUUUCUCUAUAGAAGAUUUCUAUUUCGGCCGGGCGGUGGUGGCGCACGCCUUUAAUCCCAGCACUCGGGAGGCAGAGGCAGGCUGGUCUCUGUGAGUUCGAGGCCAGCCUGGGCUACCAAGUGAGUUCCAGGAAAGGUGCAAAGCUACACAGAGAAACCAUGUCUCAAAAAAACCAAACCGAACAGAAAAUUUCUGUUUCUACCAAAUACUGGUGUGGGGAGACUACAGGGAGCGCACACGUGCCUGUAAACACCAGCGGGUGGUGACUGCAGAAAGACUCAACUCGUCAAAAUCCGAAUGGGGCCUAGGGGUACACAGAGUAGGAGCUGGGCAGUGUAGAGGAGAGUGCAAAGGUGGGGAGCGCGAGUCACCUCCUUCCUCUCCUGAGUAUGGGCAAGAGAAACCCAAGCAGCUGGACGUGAUGGCUCACAGGCUAAAAUGGCUUGCUACCCUUGCACAGGACCAGAGUUCAGUUUGAAGUGCCCAUAUGUCUCACAACCAUCUGUAUGUAAUUCCAGCUUCAGAGGAUCUUAUACCCUCUUGGUGCACUCACAUGUACAUAUGUACGUGUAAAAUUAUUUUCAUGAAAAAAAAUUUUUUAAAGAUAUAUUGCUGUAAGCUGGGCAGGGUGGCGCAUAUCUUUAAUCCCAGCACUCGGGAGGCAGAAGCAGGCAGAUCUCUGUGAGUCAAGGCCAGCCUGGUCUACAGAGCAAGUUCCUGGGCAGUCAGGACUACACAGAGAAACCCUGUCUGGGAAAAAACAAUAACAACAAAAAGAUGUAUUGCUGUUAUUUUAGGUAUGUGAGUGCUUUGCCUUCAUGUAUGUAUGUGCAUUAUGAAUGAUUUACAUAGUGAGUUCCAGGACAGCCAGGGCUGUUACACAGAGAAAUCCUAUCCAAAAAACAUUGAGCCUUCUCUCCAGCCCCAAAUGACAGAAAAUUUUUUUGAAUCUUAAGGGGGAGAAAAAAUACAUGCAUACUCAAUCUGUUGAAAGCCAGUAUACUCUGGGUUGUGCUUGAGUUCUGUUCUAACCCAUUUACUACAUUCUCUUCCUUUUCUCUUUGGAGGCAGAGUAUCUCUAUAUACCCAUUGCUAUCCUAGAAUUUGUUAUGUAGACCAGGCUAGCCAGGAAUACAUAGUAAGACCUUGUCUCAGAAAAUUGGCAUUGGCAACCCCUUCACACAGCUGGUGAGCAGCAACAUGAACUACAUGGACAAAGCUGGAGUUUAUCCUAGGUGAAUCUCCUUCUCACACUUAUUCCCAGAGAGCUGGCUGGCCACCUCCUUGUCACUACAUUGGCCCAUCUAGGUAUCCAGACAUUUCUGUGAUCCCCAUUUUAUCCCACAAAGAGUCCCCACUACCUAGUUCUAGACUCUCUACCACUAAGCCAUGUCCCUAGCUCUAUAAUUCACCUUUUCUUCAGAAAACAGUUCUGACUAUAGGUACAUACUCGCAUCCCACAAUCGGCUGGCCAUCUUCUCCUGGAACUCUGCACCUCUGGCCUACUUAAACAUCUUUUCUCCCCAGGAGGCAUCUGCAAGCCCAUGCUGUAAUUGUUCAUGUUCUUGUCCUUAGCACUUCAUACUUGUCCUCGCUACUCAGCUUCCCAUUUCCCUUUCCUUGUGUUUGAGUUAGGUUUCCUUCCUCUGAUCCGAUAGCACCUUCUAGACAAGAGCUGGCUAAAUGAAGCUUCCUCCCCUCUUGCUUGUCUAGCACUGGUCUGAUACAGUGCUGCUUGCUAAAUGGGGACUGGUUGAGGUCUCUUGGCACCUGUCCCAAAUUUGGAGAUUCUGACCAAUUCUUACUCUGUUGCUGCAUUAGUUUAUUCUAGGCCCUUGUGAAGCAGUCUAGAAGAGGUAAUUUGCAUAGUAGACUCUUGGCCAUUUUCCCACUGUGCCACAGCCAGGAAAUGUAUCUAAACCUCGAAGUGCAGGACUGCCCUUUUGGAGGAUUGCUACCGCUAUUGGCCUGACUGCCUACACUCAGGCACCAUCAAACAGCUAGGAACUUGUGGCUGUGCUGGGCACUGACCUAUGGGGAAGAUAAGGUCUUUCUAAGGCAGCUGCUUGUUCUUGGUUUCUAAACUUAGCCAACCAAGUCUGGGGCUUACACCUACUUUCUUCCCAUAGAAAGUACUUGAAGUUGGUGCUGGGGAGACCUCAGCAAUUGAGAGCACCAGCUGCUCUUCUGAAAACCUGAGUUUGAUUCCCAGCACCCACUUGGUGGCUUACAAACUCCUGUAAUUCCAGUUGCGGGGGAUCUGACACCUUCUGAGCUCAGUGAGUACCAGGCACGUAUAUACAUUGUGCACAUGUAUACAUACAUUAUUCACAUAUACAUGCAGGCAAAACACUCAUAUGUAUUAAACUAUUAGAGUUAGGUUUUUAAAAAGAAAAAAGUACUUAAGUCUGUUUGGAUUUGAAAGAUGUUUGGGUCUGCACUUUGCUGGGUACUAGUUUGUGUUUCCUGCCGUUGAGCAGCUCUUCGUUUUCAUGGACCCUGCUUUCUCCUUUCACAGUGAGAAGGACCGUGGUAAUCUGUCACUCCCAGUUUUCAUGUUAGAAAUCAUCCUAUUCUCUUUGGUUUCUAAAAAACAAUAUUUUAGUAACGUUGUGUUUUAAUUCCUGAAAGGAAACUGCUGCUUGUUUUCUUUAGUUUUACGUCAUGUUACUUAGAUCCCCACCUGAUGAGGGAUGGAUCCUCUUUAGAAGGCCAUAGGCAGGCAGCACUAUCUGAGCAUGGUGCUCCCCAGUGGGGGUUUGGUGCCCAGCAGUGACAAGAACUCCCGAGGAGCAGCUAGCCACGGGAGACACCUGUGAUAAUGGGUGACAACUGACUGCUGUUGAUUUGCUGUUGUCGUGACCACAGAUGUUUAAAAAUAAUUUGUAGGCAAAAGCAGUGGUGAUGUUUGUGUCUGUGCAGCACUUUGUUCUCAGUGGCAGACUUCAGAGACCACAGUCAUUGAGAAAAGAGGAAGGCAUUACCAUCCAGGGAAGAGGAGGGGUGCCUCUCCAGCAGCCUCAGGUGAGACGGCUAGUGCUUAGUGCAGGAAAACAGGUCCAGAGCCACAGGCCCCAAGGCUGGGCAGUUCCUGAAGGCUGAGUCGUGGUGUGUCCUAGUAGUUCCUGGCGGCAUGCUUCACCAGUGACGGUUAUCUUCAUGCCCACACAAGGGCGGCUCCUACUCCAUUCUCACACAGGGAAGUCUGAGUCUGAAUGGCUGGGUGCUGUCAGAGUUAAACUGAGCAAAGCUUGUGUCCCCAGUACCUGUUUAAGCAUCACCUCAAAAGUACCGGGAGACUGUGCAGUGACCCUGAUUGUGAGGCGCUGAAUGCUGCCAAUGGAAGAGACCAUUCUUUUAUCUGAACUUCGGGAACUCUGGGACCUUGUCUUACACCGCUUUCAAAGAUGGGGAAACUGAGGCCUACCACAGUCAGAUACAUAAUGAGCCACAUUGUCAGCCACUCGCCUUGUUUUUUCUUUGCAGGUCGUGUCCCUGCCCCCACUUCCCAGCAUCUGCCUGUGAGCUGUUGACAAGCCCCAGGCCCAGCUGCAGUGUUGUUAGAGCCUCACAUCUUUUCUCUGACUGUCAGAUCGUAGUCACGGGAAUGUCCUGUGCCAUCUUCCCUCUCAAGUGUGCUUGGCAGAGAGCAGCAGAUGCCCAGAUUCAAGGCCACGUGCCACUCAAGUGCUGGGCUGGAGAAAAGACUCUCUUUGCCUGCUACUUGUGACCAGGCAAACUGGGCUGAGUGCAGAGGCCUGUCAUCGUAGUUGUGUGACUGUUGUGCACUGGCCAAGCUGGACACAGCCCGUGGGCUCACACUGUUCGCCUUUGUGUUUGCCUCUGUUUUGUUUGGUUUUGUUUUCCUUCAUUAAUUAUGAUCUUUUUAUGCUAGUUAGAAUGUCCCCAUUAAAGGUAAGAGUCACUCAGGAAUCAUUUAUAGACAGAAAAAUCGUCUCUGGCAGAGACUGGAAUUUGAAUGGGAGUGUCAUAGAUUUUAAUCCAAUUGUUGAUAGAAAUGUAACUAAAAUUUUAGCUUGAAGAUUUUAGUAGCUGCAGGAUACUCUGUUCUGUUCAUAGUUAGCAUCCUAUUACUGAGAUUAGUCCCAGGUUUACUGUGGUAUAAAUAACGUGGUGGUGAACAUUUGUGCAUAAUCAGUCAAGUGCUAUGACAUGACCUUGUGUGGAGAAUCUUUUUGAAAGUCUUGUACCCCUGACUAGCCGAGGCCUCUAGCUCGUGGUGCUCCUAGAGCUUCUAUUGUAGGUUCUUAUUAGCAUGUUUUGUGUGAUUCACUGAGUGCUCAUGCCUCUGCUGAGCAUUAGAUGAGAUACAGGUCCUCUGCCUUUUGCUUGAGUAAUCUCAGUGUAAUUUGAUAGGCAAAAAAGGGCAUCUUAUUUUGAGUCAUUUCUGAGAAUUGGUCUUCUCCUUAACCCAUCAACAGCUUUCAUGUGGCUGUCUGGAGUUUUUCAAAAGCAAGUGAGAGACUGACAGUGAGAGACAGUGUCUUUCUCUCUUGAGCUGAUUCAUCAUAAGGGCAUUGAUGAAGUUUUAUUGGAGGGAUGAAAGGGUGAAGAGCUAGCUUUCUGUCGUUAUAACAAAUAACUUGAGGCAGAAAACUGUUUAGAGAAAAAGAUCCUAGUAUGGUGGUACUGGGGAGGUAUAGGCAGGAGGAUAACUGCAAGUUCUGGGCCAGUGUGGCCUGCCUAGUUAGUUUGUGACCAUCAGGGCUGCAUAAUGUGAUCCUCUCAAAAAAAAAGUUUGUGUGGGAGGGUCCAGUCUCUUGGAACUGACUGAGGAUACCACCAUGGAUGUACAUAGCUGAGCAAAACCUUUCACGGUUGUCAUAGUCAGGAAGCAAAGGAGGAGGAGAUUUGGAUUCCAUAAUCCCUAUCAGGUAUACCUUCAACAGCCUACUGGCCUCCCGGUCAUCCAAGCCAGGAACCAAGGCUUUAUCAUGUGAACACUUAGGAAAGCUGUGGGCAGGACUUGGAGUUCACACAGGGCAUCUGAGUGUCUUCAGGAAGACCACUGUGGCUCUGGCAUCCAGCAGGGGCUAGUAAGUAUGUCAUUUGUUGUAGCAGGAAUCUUAAAGAGUCUUUAUUAAUAAAACAAACCCAGAGCCAAGUAUUGGGGUGAACACUGGAAGAUCAGAGAGACAGAACAAGCCACAGCUAACUGGUCAACUUCUCGGCUGAUCUUGUUUCCUCCGACUGGAAGCCUCUGUGUCCUCAUAUCCGAAUGGCUCUCAGCUGAACUGUGCUGCUCAAAACCUAAAAGCUUAACCAGCCAAAUGCUUCUAGUUUCUGGUCCUCACGCUGUAUAUGCCUGCUUUCUACCACCACUCCCUGGGAUUAAAGGCUCGCUUUCUGGGGUUAAAGGCGUGAGUCACCAUGCUUGGCUGUAUCCUUGAACAGAUGGAUUUCUGCCUCUGGAAUGCUAGGAUUAAAGGCAUGUGCUACCACUGCCUAUCCUGAGUAUCUAGUGGCUUUUCUGUUCUCUGACCCCAGAUAAGUUUAUUGGGGUACACAAUAUUUUGGGGAACACAAUACCACCACAUUUCCUCUCUUUUUGUCUAAAAUUAAAAAAGCUUAUAACUAAUACAAGAAAAAUUAUAUCCAAUAAGUAUAUACAAUAUACAUAGUCAAGAUUACAUUAAUGAUGUCUAGUCCAUUAACAUUUGACAGAUUCAGACCAAAAAAAAAACUCCAUUAAUAUAUAACAAUGUUCAGUCCAGUAACAUUUGAUAAACUCAGACAAAAAAUUUCAUUACUUAUCUAUCCUAUGUAAAACAAGUAGUUCCUUUUUAAAAGAAGAUUUAAUUUCUACCUUUUGUCAUUUUUAUAUCUCCCCCUUUUUCUUUUUAGAGUAGAUUAAAUUAUCUACCCAUUUAUCUUAUUAUUUCUUUAUCUUUUUUCUCAGAGUAGACUCAGUGAUCUACCUCAAUUUGUUGAUUGUAGGGACCCCAUCUGAGGCCUGGGGUAGAGACCUGGGCUCAGAGAGUGUUAAUGAAAUAAGUAUACAUAUGCAUGGACUGAUGCUACUGAGACUGGACUUGAGGUCAAUAGGAAAACACUGGGCACUGAUCUGAGUAGCUGAAGAGAGGCCACCAGCUCAUAGUAGCCUCCAGGGACCCCUGUCCUCUGCCACAAGCUGUGUCCUACUACCUCUGAGCUUCAGGUACAACAUUGGCCUCCAAGAGAUGUGUUUUGGGGUUAUUUGAGGCAGGGUCUCCUGUAGUCCAGGCUGGCAUUAACUAUUAUGUAGUAAAAGAUGACCUUGGACUUGUAAUGGUCCUGCCUUCACCUCCUAAAUGAUGGGGUUAUAGACCUAUGCCACUCAAAGGGCUGCUUGUUUCUUUGUUUUGAAGUUCUGCCUCUAUCUGCAGAGUUGUGGGAUUGCAGGCAUGUACAGUGUCCUUGGAGGCUAGGAGAGGAUGUCAUAUUCCCCUGGAACUGGAGGUGGUGAGUCUGGAUCCUCUGGAAGAGCAUCAGCACCCUUAACCACUUGAGCCAUCUCUCCAGUCCCUUGGGUUGGUUUUUUGUUGGUUUGUUUCAAGACAAGGUUUCCCUGUGUAGUCCUGGCUGUCCUGGAACUUGCUCUGUAGACCAGGCUGGCCUCCACCUCCUGAGUGCUGGGAUUAAAGGUGUGCCUGCGCUACUACCAUCCAGCUAACACCAUCUUAAAGAAAAAAGAAAGAGAAACUGAGGUGAAAAGAGUGAAACAGAAAAAAGAAAGGGAGGGGGCUCAAUCUACACAGUUAAAUGAGUAACCGGAGCCAGUGCUGGCUGCCCUAGGGGGCGUGUGGGUUAGGAUACCACGCUGUCGGGGAGGGAGCGACAGAACUGGCAGGCAUCUUUUUGGUGUGUUCACACUGAACCACACACUAUCCUUGGGGCUUAAAUACCUUGACUGAGUGUUCUUGAGUGUCCAGUUUUCCAAAAGAGACUUUAGCCAUGUGGCUGUUCAUUGGUAUUCUGUGCUACCUUCUAACUUGCCAGCUCUCUGGGCCUGAGAUGACCUUGGCACAGAGAAGAUGCAGCCUAGCAGAAGGAACUAAGCAUGUGUGGCUCUGCCAGUCAGGGAGACUGGCUGCUGAGAAAAGCAUUCCCUGGCACCCCUAGACUUUCAGAGCUUCUGGAGUUGGCCAUGCUAGUCCCUGUGUGGUUUUUGUUGGUCACCCUUUUGAGAAUCCUCUGGGGAGGGGAGCAUUCUGUUUGUUCUUCCUGCCCAGCACUGGCCUGAGCACCACUCAGUACACAUGGACUGAAUGGGUGAUUUUUCAGUGUCAGGCCUGUAGUCUUCCCUUAGAUAGCUAGCUAUCGGAGGAGACCCAGUGUGGUAGUAUAUAGGCCUGCAUUCCUAGUUACUUGGAAGACGAAUUAGGACCAGAGGUCUAGGCCAGCCUGGGCUGCAUGGUAAAAUCUUAUUGGAAAACAAAGAAUAUCAGUUAGCCUGUUGGAAAUGUGUGCUUGCUUCCCAACUCUAGUUUCAGCACUGAGAAGGCUGAGGCAGGGGAAUCACUGGUAAAUGAGUUUAAGACUAGCCUGGGUAUCAUAAUGACACUCUGUAUCUAAAAAACAAAUGAAGGAAGCUUUCCUAAGUGAGCCAGUUAGGGAUGGAUGAGUUUCUUACCUCAGAGAGCACUAGGAAGAUGAGGCCACGUUGUCUGCCCAGAAAAGGGGAUUUUGAUACAAGUUCAAGCUCCCUGCCUUCAGUUGAGCCAGUUUUGAAGCUUGUGUUGGGGCUAGUUUGUAACACCCAAUUGUCUUCUAUUAAAUAAAUACUUGUGUGUGUACGCUGCUUAGUUUUGGUGAUUACAUUAAAUACAGUAUUUGACUGACUGGUUGUUGCUUCUGUGCUGGGGAUGGAACCCAGGGCCUGGCCCCUGCUGGAUAAAUACAUUAUUGCUGGGCACAUCCCUAGCCCCUGUCAUAAUAACAUUUAUUUUUGGCUUUUGAGACAGCAUCUCACUGUGUAACCCAGGCUAAACUUGAAUGUGAACUUACCAGUGUUCUUCUGUGUGACCACAACUGCUGGUAGCACUGAACUGAUGUUCUGAAUUCAGAUGAAGUUUGUGUAUAUUUAGAUAUUUUUGUAGAAAUUGUAUUAUGUUCACAUACACACAGAUUCUCUGUAAUAACAUGAAAAAAAAUUGUUUGGUUUUGUUUUUCUAGAUAGGGUUUCUCUGUGUAGCCCUGACUGUCCUGGAACACACUAUGUAGGCCUGGCUGGCCUCGAACUCAGAGAUUUCCACCUCUGCCUCCCUGAGUGGUGGGAUUAAAGGCAUAUGCCACCACUGCCUGGCAGAAACUUAUCUGCAAAGUUUGUCUUUUUCAUCACAUGGACUAGUCCUAAACUUAAGCGGAGACAUCGGUUUAUCUUCAUCAGUAGAUGUCAUCAUCCUUCUAUACUUGGGCAACCUGAGUAAACUAGCUCAGAUGAAGUUAAUCAAGUUUAGAACUCAUUUUGUAGUGUUUUUAUGUUAUCGGAUGAGUCAUCUUUUGGCAAAGCAGUUCUCCACCCAUCCCAGUGUUUGAUCUGAACGAAUUAUAGCCCAAACUGGUGAGGAGGUGUGCUUCAGAAAUGCAGAGUCAACAGCCGUGCUCGUGUGUGGCUGACUGUUUAAGAGCUUCAGAAAGCAGAACAAAGAGCAGAAUGUAAUAAGAACUUGUCAGGGGCUGGGGUCAGUCCUUUCUGGAACAUGAGUUUCUUCCCGCCCCCUUCACCUCUGCUAAUGAGUGCUGACAUUCGAAAAAGAGGAAAAAAGACAGCUUCUGUUUGCUUUACUGCAAAUAAGUGGCCCUGCUGUUGGCCGCCUUCCCAGUGGCCCUGAGAGUACCUCAGAUGUGGUCAGUGAGGUAUGUGCACGGUGCCAGCCUGCCGGCCUCAUCCAGGCAGACUGCACCCGGAAUGGCCAGGCCGCUGCCUUCUGCCUUUGCUCUUCCUCUUGGUGCCACCUGGUUUCUUUCUGAGGCAAAGCUGAUGUUACUCUCUGAAGACAGAUGGACAAGGGGUUCUGCUCCCUCUGCUCAUCCUCUGCUCUAGUAACUUGCAGUGGAUGUUACCUUUUUGAGCAUUCAAGACCAUCUGGGAAAUGCGUCUUGCAAAAAUGUAGUCCAGUGCGGCAAAGGACCAGACCACAUGGCACCUUUAGUGCCAAAUUCCUGCAUGGUUCCGCCACUUUUGGAUUCCAGAAGCAGGCCUACGUUUACACUCCUGUUCCUUUUCCCUUAGCAGUUAACUGAGUCAUCUCUCACUGGAUGUUUCUUCCUCUCACCAUCCUCUCGGAUUACUCUUGUGAAGAUAGUGAUAUGUGUAGGCUGUUGAGCAUGGCUCCUUACACACAGCAGGGUCUAUCACUGUUUGGACUUUGUUCAACACUGUGGGGGUUGUGCCCUGUCUUCUCAGGAGUCACUGACAAUGUGCAAGAGCCACCCAGAAAAAUUGCUGUGGCUAGACUGUCUGGUGUCUGAGUUUCUCUGUUUUCGUGGGACAUUGGGGAAGAGGCUUUCUGCAUAACAGAGUGCAGCUGCCACUCCAGCCAGUCCCCAGAUGCCAAAUCAAGUGUCUUCAUUGCAUGCACAUUUGGUGUGUGGGUAGAAGCCGAGCUCAUGUGGCAGUGCAUGGUGGCUGGCCUCUAGCUUGUCAAGUGCUCAGACAGCACUAAGGGGUUCAGUGAUGCCCUUGGAGAGGCUGACAUACCAGACCACACACAAUACCCCGAAUGAGCAAUAAUUCCAACACAGAAGAGGUGCCAGAGAAAUGGAGACCCUUCAGUAGAGACUCCCCAGAAAUCAUAGUCUUUUCUUCUACCUGCUCAGACUUUGGUGGAGGCCCAUUGCCCCUGUGAAUUUUCUGUUAAUGAAUGUUGCCUCAAUCAUAAGCUUUCCAGAUGCAGAAAUCAAGACCUACUCACUAGUUUACUUUCAUACCUAGGUGCCUGGCACCAAGUAAGUGCCUCUGGGGCUGGUCAAAUAAAAGAAUUUGUGCUACUUGGAAACUGAGACUCAGUCUUGGGUGCUCAUUUGCCAAGCUGUUUGUCAGUCUUAGAGUAAUAGGAUGUGCUUUAAAAAAGAAAAUC